rnacentral:lncRNA from 1 species
CGGCCCAGGAGCGGCCUGCAGGGUUUGGAAACCCACAGCAGCGGGUCAGACCCGAGGAAAGAAACUGCAAUUGUGGAGAGCACCAGAUGCAGAACAGAAGUCUCUGCUGGUUUGCUUGUUGCAAAAGGCCCCCGCUGACUUUACCUUUGGGUCUGUUCUACCAUCUCUCAUUGUUUCACGGAAACUGAUGCAGGCUGCGUAUCGGCAGCGUAGGGGAACGAACCGGAUGAGAGGAGAAUAUUUAUUUAUUAUGGGAAUGUCUGAAGUUAUCCUUUCUGCUGGCUUUUGGCUCAAGGAGGAGCACCCCGCGUGCCACCCAGAGUCAAAGGGUAAGUGCAGUGAAAAAUAACAAUCAAAGAAAAAAAAACCAGCAAGGAAAAAGAAAAAAAAAAGAAAGGAAAAGGAAAGAGGUAGCGUUGCAAGUAAAGCUGGGAGAUUGCCAUUAAGAAGAAAAAAAAAAAAAAAUUAAAAAGGUGGGGG